AUGAACGCUGGCAGCGUGCCUAAUACAUGCAAGUCGAGCGAACAGACGAGGAGCUUGCUCCUCUGACGUUAGCGGCGGACGGGUGAGUAACACGUGGAUACCUACCUAUAAGACUGGGAUAACUUCGGGAAACCGGAGCUAAUACCGGAUAAUAUAUUGAACCGCAUGGUUCAAUAGUGAAAGACGGUUUUGCUGUCACUUAUAGAUGGAUCCGCGCCGCAUUAGCUAGUUGGUAAGGUAACGGCUUACCAAGGCAACGAUGCGUAGCCGACCUGAGAGGGUGAUCGGCCACACUGGAACUGAGACACGGUCCAGACUCCUACGGGAGGCAGCAGUAGGGAAUCUUCCGCAAUGGGCGAAAGCCUGACGGAGCAACGCCGCGUGAGUGAUGAAGGUCUUCGGAUCGUAAAACUCUGUUAUUAGGGAAGAACAAAUGUGUAAGUAACUAUGCACGUCUUGACGGUACCUAAUCAGAAAGCCACGGCUAACUACGUG
rnacentral:rRNA from 1 species